rnacentral:rRNA from 1 species
UGGGGAAUAUUGGACAAUGGGCGAAAGCCUGAUCCAGCCAUGCCGCGUGUGUGAAGAAGGUCUUCGGAUUGUAAAGCACUUUAAGUUGGGAGGAAGGGCAGUAAGUUAAUACCUUGCUGUUUUGACGUUACCGACAGAAUAAGCACCGGCUAACUCUGUGCCAGCAGCCGCGGUAAUACAGAGGGUGCAAGCGUUAAUCGGAAUUACUGGGCGUAAGGCGCGCGUAGGUGGUUUGUUAAGUUGGAUGUGAAAGCCCCGGGCUCAACCUGGGAACUGCAUCCAAAACUGGCAAGCUAGAGUACGGUAGAGGGUGGUGGAAUUUCCUGUGUAGCGGUGAAAUGCGUAGAUAUAGGAAGGAACACCAGUGGCGAAGGCGACCACCUGGACUGAUACUGACACUGAGGUGCGAAAGCGUGGGGAGCAAACAGGAUUAGAUACCCCAGUAGUCCCUGAGCGGGCUGGCAAGGCGCAU